rnacentral:rRNA from 1 species
GAUGAACGCUGGCGGCGUGCUUAACACAUGCAAGUCGAACGGAAAGGCCCGGCUUUUGUGGGUUGCUCGAGUGGCGAACGGGGGAGAAACACGCGAGUAACCUCCCCUUGACUUUGGGAUAACACCAGGAAACAGGGGCUAUUACAGGAUAGAAGCUCUUGAUCCAUGUUGGGGGUUGGAAAGUUUCGGUCGUUGGGGAUGGAUUGGCGGGUUAUCAGCUUGUUGGUGAGGUAGUGGCUUACCAAGGUUUUGACGGGUAGGCGGCAUGAGAGGGGGACCAGCGACCAGGGGACUGAGGGAGGGCCCAGUCGCGUACGGGAGGCAGCGGGGGGGAAUAUUGCGGAAUGGGCGGAAGUCUGAGACAGCAGCGCCGCGUGCGGGAUGCCGGCCUUCGGGUGAAAAACCGCUGUCUCCGGUGAUGUGGCGGGAGUGACGGUAACGGGUCAGGAAGCACCGGCUAACUACGUG